UACGUAGGGUGCAAGCGUUAAUCGGAAUUACUGGGCGUAAAGCGUGCGCAGGCGGUUAUGUAAGACAGGUGUGAAAUCCCCGGGCUUAACCUGGGAACUGCAUUUGUGACUGCACGGCUAGAGUGUGUCAGAGGGGGGUAGAAUUCCACGUGUAGCAGUGAAAUGCGUAGAUAUGUGGAGGAAUACCGAUGGCGAAGGCAGCCCCCUGGGAUAACACUGACGCUCAUGCACGAAAGCGUGGGGAGCAAACAGG
rnacentral:rRNA from 1 species